rnacentral:rRNA from 1 species
UGCGCAGGCGGCUUGGAAAGAACGGUGUGAAAUCCCGGGGCUCAACCCCGGAACUGCACUAUUAACUAUCAAGCUAGAGUAUGUCAGAGGGGGGUGGAAUUCCGCGUGUAGCAGUGAAAUGCGUAGAUAUGCGGAGGAACACCAAUGGCGAAGGCAGCCCCCUGGGAUAAUACUGACGCUCAGGCACGAAAGCGUGGGUAGCAAACA